rnacentral:rRNA from 1 species
GAUGAACGCUAGCGAUAGGCUUAACACAUGCAAGUCGAGGGGCAGCACAAGGUAGCUUGCCAUCUGGGUGGCGACCGGCGCACGGGUGCGUAACGCGUAUGCAACUUGCCCUAUACAGGAGGAUAACCCGUCGAAAGACGGACUAAUACUGCGUAUGCUCACAACUUGGCAUCAAGUGGUGAGGAAAGAAAUUCGGUAUAGGAUAGGCAUGCGUCCCAUUAGCUUGUUGGUGAGGUAACGGCUCACCAAGGCAGCGAUGGGUAGGGGAACUGAGAGGUUUAUCCCCCACACUGGUACUGAGACACGGACCAGACUCCUACGGGAGGCAGCAGUGAGGAAUAUUGGUCAAUGGGCGCGAGCCUGAACCAGCCAAGUCGCGUGAAGGAUGACUGUCUUAUGGAUUGUAACCUUCUUUUAUACGGGAAUAACAAGAGUCACGUGUGACUCCCUGCAUGUACCGGAUGAAUAAGCAUCGGCUAACUCCGUG